rnacentral:lncRNA from 1 species
GGGGCAUUUCUCUCCACUGGGGCAGUAGACUUCGCCAGUCGCCCCCUGGGCCUUGAUGCUCUCUCUGGAACAAGGGAAGCAGAACUUGUGGCUGGGCACAGAGGGGCACUGAACAAAGUGGGUGUCCUCCAAGCGUUCGUGGCAAAUGGUGCAGCACAGGGGCCCACUGUUGGCCAUGGGGGAGUCCGGAAUGUUUUGGGGGUGCACUUGGUCCAUGGCGGGGUGGGUGCUGGGGGGAGGAGGGGCCACUUGCAGAUUCAUGUCCCCGUUGCGGGAGGCCAGACGGCGCUGGCCCGGCACCGAGGCCGGCGACACGGGGCUGCUGCUGUUCCUGCGGGUGGACGUGGUGGAGUGCACCGAGCUGCCGUCCUUGGGCGAGUGGGCAUUGCCCAGCGUGUCGGCCACCGACAUGAGCGCGGCCAUGGGGGACUGUCCGUUCUGGGGGGCGGACUCGGGUGGCGUGGUCCGGUUGGAGUGAGGCCCGAGGGGUGGCGGCGGCGGGGGGCCCCCGCCGUGCACCGCCCCGAAGCCCCCGGCCGACAUGGUGAGCUUGAGCGCUUCGCUCUGGCUGGCCAUCCACUGCUGCCGCUGCUGCUCGUCGCUGAGCUUCAGAGCUCCCUCGGCCGAGUCCGAGGGCUCAGGAGAGGCUUUCCUCUUGCGCAUCGCCCCGCCGCCGCCGCCGCCACCGCCACCGCCAGGUCCCCUAGAGGCGGCGGCCGUGCCCUGCGCCCCGCCGGCCCCGGCCCCCGGCCGCGGGAGACUCACCAGCGCCGUGGGCAGCAUGGGGCAGCUGGCGUCCAGGUACUUGAAGCCCGAGGAGAGGCCGCGGCCGAAGUCCUUCAUACAGUCCUGGUACAUCUGCUUGGCCACGCCGGAGGCGCUGGAGAAGACGGUGCCGGAGCCGCUGGGGUACUCGAUGAAGAGCUUCAGCUCAUAGUCCAUGCCCGGCUUGGAGACGGCGUCGAAGGCAAAGACGCGGCCCAGCAAGGCGUGAUCCUUCUUGAAGCGCACCUCGUAGGGGGUGCAGCCGGCCAGAGUGAGCAGCGUGUCCCGCACGAUCUUGGGCUUGCUGGCCCACUCCUCGGCCCGAUUCCGCAAACUCUCACUGAGUUCGGCCAGCGCCUCCGCGUUGCGCUGCUUCUCCUUCAGCUCCCGCUCUUGGUCACUGCUUGA